rnacentral:rRNA from 1 species
AUACGGAGGAUCCGAGCGUUAUCCGGAUUUAUUGGGUUUAAAGGGAGCGUAGGCGGACGCUUAAGUCAGUUGUGAAAGUUUGCGGCUCAACCGUAAAAUUGCAGUUGAUACUGGGUGUCUUGAGUACAGUAGAGGCAGGCGGAGUUCGUGGUGUAGCGGGGGAAUGCUUAGAUAUCACGAAGAACUCCGAUUGCGAAGGCAGCCUGCUGGACUGUAACUGACGCUGAUGCUCGAAAGUGUGGGUAUCAAACAGGAUUAGAUACCCUGGUAGUCCACACAGUAAACGAUGAAUACUCGCUGUUUGCGAUAUACAGUAAGCGGCCAAGCGAAAGCGUUAAGUAUUCCACCUGGGGAGUACGCCGGCAACGGUGAAACUCAAAUGAAUUGACGGGG